rnacentral:rRNA from 1 species
GAUGAACGCUGGCGGCGUGCCUAAUACAUGCAAGUCGAGCGGACAGACGAGGUGCUUGCACCUCUGAAGUCAGCGGCGGACGGGUGAGUAACGCGUGGGUAACCUACCUGUAAGACUGGGAUAACUUCGGGAAACCGGAGCUAAUACCGGAUAAUAUUCUCCACCUCAUGGUGGAAUAGUGAGAGACGGUUUUGCUGUCACCUACAGAUGGACCCGCGGCGCAUUAGCUAGUUGGUGAGGUAACGGCUCACCAAGGCGACGAUGCGUAGCCGACCUGAGAGGGUGAUCGGCCACACUGGGACUGAGACACGGCCCAGACUCCUACGGGAGGCAGCAGUAGGGAAUCUUCCGCAAUGGACGAAAGUCUGACGGAGCAACGCCGCGUGAGUGAAGAAGGUCUUCGGAUCGUAAAACUCUUGUGUAAGGGAAGAACAAGUACGUUAGUAACUGAACGUAC